rnacentral:sRNA from 1 species
GUGUCUCACGCGUACAUUCCGGUUCUAAGCGUGCCGUCCACGCCCAGCGGGCAACUGCUCGCUACGUUUUGGUCGCC